CCUACGGGAGGCUGCAGUGGGGAAUCUUCCGCAAUGGACGAAAGUCUGACGGAGCAACGCCGCGUGAGUGAAGAAGGUUUUCGGAUCGUAAAACUCUGUUUUCAGGGACGAAUGUGUGGAUUGUAAAUAAUGAUCCAUAAUGACGGUACCUGACAAGAAAGCCACGGCUAACUACGUGCCAGCAGCCGCGGUAAUACGUAGGUGGCAAGCGUUGUCCGGAAUUAUUGGGCGUAAAGCGCGCGCAGGUGGGAUAAUCAGUCUGAUGUUAAAGUUCGGGGCUUAACCCCGUGAAGCAUUGGAUACUGUUAUUCUUGAGUGCAGGAGGAGAAAGUGGAAUUCCUAGUGUAGCGGUGAAAUGCGUAGAUAUUAGGAGGAACACCAGUGGCGAAGGCGACUUUCUGGACUGUGUCUGACACUGAGGCGCGAAAGCCAGGGUAGUGAACGGGAUUAGAUACCCUAGUAGUC
rnacentral:rRNA from 1 species